rnacentral:rRNA from 1 species
AAAUUGAAGAGUUUGAUCAUGGCUCAGAUUGAACGCUGGCGGCAGGCCUAACACAUGCAAGUCGAACGGUAACAGGAAGCAGCUUGCUGCUUUGCUGACGAGUGGCGGACGGGUGAGUAAUGUCUGGGAAACUGCCUGAUGGAGGGGGAUAACUACUGGAAACGGUGGCUAAUACCGCAUAAUGUCGCAAGACCAAAGAGGGGGACCUUCGGGCCUCUUGCCAUCAGAUGUGCCCAGAUGGGAUUAGCUUGUUGGUGAGGUAACGGCUCACCAAGGCGACGAUCCCUAGCUGGUCUGAGAGGAUGACCAGCCACACUGGAACUGAGACACGGUCCAGACUCCUACGGGAGGCAGCAGUGGGGAAUAUUGCACAAUGGGCGCAAGCCUGAUGCAGCCAUGCCGCGUGUAUGAAGAAGGCCUUCGGGUUGUAAAGUACUUUCAGCGGGGAGGAAGGUGUUGUGGUUAAUAACCGCAGCAAUUGACGUUACCCGCAGAAGAAGCACCGGCUAACUCCGUGCCAGCAGCCGCGGUAAUACGGAGGGUGCAAGCGUUAAUCGGAAUUACUGGGCGUAAAGCGCACGCAGGCGGUCUGUCAAGUCGGAUGUGAAAUCCCCGGGCUCAACCUGGGAACUGCAUUCGAAACUGGCAGGCUUGAGUCUUGUAGAGGGGGGUAGAAUUCCAGGUGUAGCGGUGAAAUGCGUAGAGAUCUGGAGGAAUACCGGUGGCGAAGGCGGCCCCCUGGACAAAGACUGACGCUCAGGUGCGAAAGCGUGGGGAGCAAACAGGAUUAGAUACCCUGGUAGUCCACGCCGUAAACGAUGUCUACUUGGAGGUUGUGCCCUUGAGGCGUGGCUUCCGGAGCUAACGCGUUAAGUAGACCGCCUGGGGAGUACGGCCGCAAGGUUAAAACUCAAAUGAAUUGACGGGGGCCCGCACAAGCGGUGGAGCAUGUGGUUUAAUUCGAUGCAACGCGAAGAACCUUACCUGGUCUUGACAUCCACGGAAGUUUUCAGAGAUGAGAAUGUGCCUUCGGGAACCGUGAGACAGGUGCUGCAUGGCUGUCGUCAGCUCGUGUUGUGAAAUGUUGGGUUAAGUCCCGCAACGAGCGCAACCCUUAUCCUUUGUUGCCAGCGAUUAGGUCGGGAACUCAAAGGAGACUGCCAGUGAUAAACUGGAGGAAGGUGGGGAUGACGUCAAGUCAUCAUGGCCCUUACGACCAGGGCUACACACGUGCUACAAUGGCGCAUACAAAGAGAAGCGACCUCGCGAGAGCAAGCGGACCUCAUAAAGUGCGUCGUAGUCCGGAUUGGAGUCUGCAACUCGACUCCAUGAAGUCGGAAUCGCUAGUAAUCGUGGAUCAGAAUGCCACGGUGAAUACGUUCCCGGGCCUUGUACACACCGCCCGUCACACCAUGGGAGUGGGUUGCAAAAGAAGUAGGUAGCUUAACCUUCGGGAGGGCGCUUACCACUUUGUGAUUCAUGACUGGGGUGAAGUCGUAACAAGGUAACCGUAGGGGAACCUGCGGUUGGAUCACCUCCUUA